AAAUAGCCCUGAUGGCAGCGGCAUCUCCCCAUUUAGAAAAACAAGGCUUUUCUAGCCGAAGUUUUGUUAAUGGGGAAUAUAGCGUACAGCAGGAGGGAAC
rnacentral:sRNA from 1 species